GUGUCAGCCGCCGCGGUAAUACGUAGGGGGCAAGCGUUGUCCGGAAUCAUUGGGCGUAAAGCGCGUGUAGGCGGUUAUGUAAGUCUGCUGUGAAAGUCGGAGGCUCAACCUUCGAAAGCCGGUGGAUACUGCAUGACUUGAGUCCGGAAGAGGAGAGUGGAAUUCCUGGUGUAGCGGUGAAAUGCGCAGAUAUCAGGAGGAACACCAACGGCGAAGGCAGCUCUCUGGGACGGUACUGACGCUGAGACGCGAAAGCGUGGGGAGCAAACAGGAUUAGAUACCCUGGUAGUCCACGCCGUAAACGAUGGUCACUAGAUGUGGGGGGUGUCGACUCCCCCCGUGUCGUAGCUAACGCGUUAAGUGACCCGCCUGGGGAGUACGGCCGCAAGGCUAAA
rnacentral:rRNA from 1 species